AAACUUGGACGAAGCUCAUGUCUUCGGCUCUCCCGGGACAACUGACCCGGUGCGCGAUGGCUCUCUGGGUCACUCCACCCCCCUGUGCACUCCCAGGAAUGGAUCCGCCCAGGGUCUGAACCAAGUGACCACUUAGCCCGGAGGGCGCCCGCACCCCAGGCGACAUGUGCAACCACCUGCUGCUCUGGCCAAAGUUGAUAGGACCGCGCUCCCGGAAGACAGAGACCCCCUGGGGGUGCUCCACCUGCCGAGAGGGGCCGGCCCUGCUGAGCACCUGUUCGAUGACGGUCCCCACCCCUGUCUCCGGCGCCGAUGGACCCGCCUAGGUGCGCCCUGCGGGGAGGUGCCAGGCCGAGCAAGGUCCCGGCUGGCAGAGGCGUGUCGGUGACGCUGCCUGCCUUCCCACUUUCGUCCCGGUGGGGGAGGUGUCGCGGGCUUUCUGGGCUCCCAAGUUGGCUGACUCAAGUAUCAAUGAGGCCCCCCCUUGAAGUGAUGCUCUGGCCCCGCAGGCGAUGCUCGUGGAGACGGAACUUUUGAAAAAGUUGCAGUCGUUCUUUGGCAAUUUCCUUACUUACUUGUGGUUCCCUCUCCACCUCCCCUUCGGUCAUCCCUUACUCUAGGUCAGGCUUCCGGAAGUUCUGACGCUUAAAGGCGCUGUGCCCAGACUGGAGGCCGGGAGACUUGUUUCGGUUCAAAGGUUCCCAGGCCGUCACCUGCACCCCGGGAGCGGCCAGCGGCUCUCGGCCUUCUCAGCGUUACACUGCUGCUCCCUGGUGGCGUCGAGGGGAAGCGCAUUCUGGGAGAUUGUGAACUGACCGGUGCGUUGGGAAUACUAUCAUUUUCUUCUGUCUUGUAAAACUCGGUCACAUCCUUCUGCUCAGGAAUAUCCCGUAGCCCCUCCUUACUCCCAAGAAAAAUCCAAAAUACUCAUACCGGCCUGAUUGUCCCUCCCCAACGUCACUUUGCUCUCUUCGCUUAUUUGGCUUUGGCCACACUGACCUGGUGUGUCCCAAAUCAGACACAUGGCUGGUGUCGCUACCAGAAUUUCUUUCCUGCUGAGGACACCUCAUCCCAUUUUCCUCAGGGUCGCAUUCAAAGGCAAACCCUUCUCAUAAAAUUUCACCCUGCUUAUGAGCCGUUAUGAUUUAAAAAUAGAGGAAAUCAUCAUAGCCAUCAUUGCUACCGUUUGUAAUUCUAAACCCGUAAUACGCAUUACUUUGUGUUUUGUACACCCUUGCUAUUAUCAUUGUUAUGGAUACCUAGGACCUUGGUCAUCCAUCAUCUUCAACGUAGGAAAGAGAAUCUGUAUUAGGUUAGAACCCAUUCUAAUCACCCCAUUUUCACUCAGCAUUUUUAUAUACCCCAUCUCUACACAAAGAUAGAUGCGUGCUUCCUCCCAGGGCAGGCUUCUCCCCAACGUCUCUCUCCCGUUGUUUCCUUCUCGAAUCAUUUACUGUCAUCUGGUAUUUACUAGCUACAGUUUCUCCACCUAUCUUUUCCUGUCCUAAAGACAACGUUGCUUAGUAAAUAUUCCACCUCUGUAUCUCCCGGCCCUCCUGCAGUUAUGGGGGGGGGGGCUACAUUAGGUCAAUUAUGGUUAGUAGCAUCUGUACAAAAGUAGAGCGGGUUCCCCUCCCAGUCCAGAGCAUUUAAUCGACAGGAUGCCUUCCCCUGCCCCAGCAACCAGUGUUGUUUCGGACAGCGUCUGUGGGGACCUUGCAGGGGAGCCCUCCCCACUAACCAGUGCUGGGUAUGAAUGUGAAAAAAGAAGGGGGUUAUAAAACUAAGAUUCCGGAAUGAUGAACUCUAGACUGUCACGAUUAGUACAUCCCCUUGACACCAAGGGGAUGAUUUAAUGAUGAUUUAAGAAUCUUUCCUAUGGCCGGGCAGUGGUGGCACAAGGCUUGCAUCCCAGCACUCAGGAGGCAGAGGCAGGCAGCAGCUCUCAGUGAGUUUGAGACUGGCUUGAUCUGCAAAGCGAAUUCCAGGACAGCCAGGACUGUUACACAGAGAAUCCCUGCCUUGAAAAACCAAACAAACAAACAAAAAUUCUAUCUCUAGGAGUAGGAGAGGUGGUCCUUGUCAGGGCUUCCCACUGGACUUCAGUAUCUGUGUGUCACCCUUUUGAUGGACACGAAGCCCUUGUCCCAUUCCCAUGUCAGACACUUUUUGUCUCCGAGACAUAGGCCUGUGAGAAAUAGGGUUUUUGUUUGUUUUGUAAAAUCUUUAUUUUAUUUUUGGCUCAUGUUAUCAAAGGUUUUGGGACAUGUUUGGCUGGCCACAUCAUUUGGGAGCUUGCAUUUCAAGGCUGGUGAGGCAGAGAACUAAGCUUGCUGCUUGCUUCACAGAGGCUAGGAAACAGUCAGACAGACAGGAAGGGGCCAGGGACAAGGGAGACCCAAGGACUGCCCUACUUCUGCCAACUGAGUUCCGCUUUCCAAUGAUGGACCAGCCUGACUCCAUCUUAAGAUUAAAAGCCAUCUCGCCAAAGUACGUUCAUACUUGUUUUCUGAAAAAUUGAAUUUGACCAUGUCUUGACCCAUUUUUUGGAAGUUGACAUGUCCCACACCUAUAUUCUGACCCCCCCCCCCCGCCCGGUAUGAUGUUCUGCCACAUAAUAUUGAGAUGUUCCUCCUCCUACAUAACUAAAAAUUCUUAAAAACCCCCUGGCCUUGAAAUUUGAGGCUAAUAUAAACCCAACCUUCUUCCAUGUUUGCUACUAAACCCCACCUUUAGACUGAUGGCCCUGACAGAAAAUAAAGCUUGUGUAAUCUAA